UGCUUGGGAAUAUGCCUUGAGGUGGGGGACAACAGUUGGAAACGACUGCUAAUACCGCAUAAUGUCUACGGACCAAAGAGGGGGACCUUCGGGCCUCUUGCCUUUAGAUUAGCCCAAGUGAGAUUAGCUAGUAGGUGGGGUAAUGGCUCACCUAGGCGACGAUCUCUAGCUGGUUUGAGAGGACGACCAGCCACACUGGGACUGAGACACGGCCCAGACUCCUACGGGAGGCAGCAGUGGGGAAUUUUGGACAAUGGGGGAAACCCUGAUCCAGCCAUCCCGCGUGUGCGAUGAAGGCCU
rnacentral:rRNA from 1 species